CAGGCCUAACACAUGCAAGUCGAACGGCAGCGCAGGGGAGCUUGCUCCCUGGGUGGCGAGUGGCGGACGGGUGAGGAAUGCGUCGGAAUCUGCCUUUUUGUGGGGGAUAACGUAGGGAAACUUACGCUAAUACCGCAUACGACCUACGGGUGAAAGCCGGGGACCUUCGGGCCUGGCGCAGAAAGAUGAGCCGACGUCGGAUUAGCUAGUUGGCGGGGUAAAGGCCCACCAAGGCGACGAUCCGUAGCUGGUCUGAGAGGAUGAUCAGCCACACUGGGACUGAGACACGGCCCAGACUCCUACGGGAGGCAGCAGUGGGGAAUAUUGGACAAUGGGCGCAAGCCUGAUCCAGCCAUGCCGCGUGUGUGAAGAAGGCCUUCGGGUUGUAAAGCACUUUUGUACGGGAAGAAAAGCGUUCGGUUAAUACCCGGGCGACCUGACGGUACCGUAAGAAUAAGCACCGGCUAACUUCGUGCCAGC
rnacentral:rRNA from 1 species